rnacentral:rRNA from 1 species
AGGCGAGUGAGCGGCAAAAGCUCAAAUUUGAAAUCUGGCACCUUCGGUGUCCGAGUUGUAAUUUGAAGAUUGUAACCUUGGGGUUGGCUCUUGUCUAUGUUUCUUGGAACAGGACGUCACAGAGGGUGAGAAUCCCGUGCGAUGAGAUGCCCAAUCCUAUGUAAGGUGCUUUCGAAGAGUCGAGUUGUUUGGGAAUGCAGCUCUAAGUGGGUGGUAAAUUCCAUCUAAAGCUAAAUAUUGGCGAGAGACCGAUAGCGAACAAGUACAGUGAUGGAAAGAUGAAAAGAACUUUGAAAAGAGAGUGAAAAAGUACGUGAAAUUGUUGAAAGGGAAGGGUUUGAGAUCAGACUCGAUAUUUUGUGAGCCUUGCCUUCGUGGCGGGGUGACCCGCAGCUUAUCGGGCCAGCAUCGGUUUGGGCGGUAGGAUAAUGGCGUAGGAAUGUGACUUUGCUUCGGUGAAGUGUUAUAGCCUGCGUUGAUGCUGCCUGCCUAGACCGAGGACUGCGAUUUUAUCAAGGAUGCUGGCAUAAUGAUCCCAAACCGCCCGUCUUGAAAACACGGGACACA